rnacentral:lncRNA from 1 species
AUAAAUAUUUGGGACUUAAUCAAGACAUUUAGUCCGUCUUCUGUUUCAUGCACCUGUUUUAGUGCAAUACCCUUCAUUAAACACUUAUUCUCGAAAAUCGAUUUUUAACUUAAGAUUUUCACCUAAUUAUCAUCUCAUUGGUCUUAAGCAAUCCACACAAAAUUUAACAAAAUCCACAUCCAUCUCAAUGUCUCCCUACAACACAUUCUACAUAUUCUAUCCAUUGAUCCAAUCCAAAUCAAUUUUCAUGAUUAUUGUGCUCAACGUAAAUCAAUCUAACAUGAAAUAAAUCAAAGCAACAUCCCCUAGUCACAAUAAUAUAAAAACAAUUUCAAUGUGAAGAUUAAACAUGCAAAAUGUAUGAAGGACUACUAGGAGCAAAAAUUUGGAACAAAGGGUCGGGUUUUGAACUUUACCUGGAACUGCAUAAACUUGGUCGAAAUGAACCUUCAAUUUCAUUAGAGAGAAAAAAAUGACAAUAAAAGAAACACACCUAAAACAAACACAUAACAUUAUAAGCUGAAAAAACAAACAUACAAAAUAAAACAAUAAAGCAAUGGACUCUUCUAAUCUAGAGAAAUUCUCAAAAAACGGUUUCAAACGAUGACCAUUAACUUUAAAAAUAUUUCUUCAUUAAGCCUUCGUUGCAUUUCUCUUGUAGGUUUAGCAUAUUCCUCCAAAUAAAUCUUAUGUGUGCAAAUCAAAGGAUUAAUCCCCUUUAUAUCAGCUAUGGUUCAUCCUAAAACAUUUUUAUGCAUUUUUAAAGUUUAUAAAAAAUUGCCUAAAUUGCCUUCUUGGUGCACAUCAAGUUGGGAAGAAAUUAUUAUCGGAAAAGUUUCAUCUUCACCCUAAAACGAGUAUUUCAGAUUAGAUGGUAAUGGCUUCAAGUCGAGCUCUGGCAUUUGAACAGUUGAAAUCAUGGACAUCACUGUUGUGCUAAUUUUUCAAACUUUGAUUUCCAAGAAAUGGAUGACCUGUCAUUUGAUAAUAGAAUUUAUCAAAAAUGCUUUGUGUUGAACAUUAAGUUUCCUCUUGAUAGUGCACAAGUCCAUUAAAAAUUUUGCAUAUAUUCUUGAUUAAAAAAUUUUGCAUAUCCAUUAAAAAGUUUCCUCUUGACAGUGCAUAAGUCCAUUAAAAAUUUUGAUUGUAUCCAAUAAUGGUAUGUUAAUUUUAUAACUUGUUUGAAAAGUUCAAAAAUUUCAGAAUUACGGUUGAGUUUUGAAAUUGGUUGCAAUCGUUGAGGAAAUGGA